rnacentral:rRNA from 1 species
AACGAACGCUGGCGGCAUGCCUAACACAUGCAAGUCGAACGAGACCUUCGGGUCUAGUGGCGCACGGGUGCGUAACGCGUUGGAACCUGCCCUUAGGUUCGGAAUAACUCCCCGAAAGGGGUGCUAAUACCGGAUAAUGUCUUCGGACCAAAGAUUUAUCGCCUUUGGAUGGGCCCGCGUUGGAUUAGCUAGUUGGUAGGGUAAAAGCCUACCAAGGCGACGAUCCAUAGCUGGUCUGAGAGGAUGAUCAGCCACACUGGGACUGAGACACGGCCCAGACUCCUACGGGAGGCAGCAGUGGGGAAUAGUGGAAAAUGGGCGAAAGCCUGAUACAGCAAUGACGCGUGAGUGAUGAAGGCCUUAGGGUUGUAAAGCUCUUUUACCCGGGAUGAUAAUGACAGUACCGGGAGAAUAAGCGCCGGCUAACUCCGUG